CCACCACUGCAUCAUUUUGAGUAAUAUUGUAUUAUUGCAACGACAAUUUACAAGAAUACGCAGUACCAGAUGUACACCCACUACAGGAAUAAGCAUUUCUGAUCAAAUUAUUAUUUUUGAUAAACCCAUUUAGAAUCUAAUCUGGUUUUGCCUGGAUUCCAGGGUAAAAACCUUGAAACUUAAAGGUUGGUUUGAUCUGGGUUUUCCAAGUAAGUUCUGCAUGAAAGUGUUGGCUGCUGCUGCUCCGCUCCCUCAACGCUCAUUUUUUACACAUCGCAUCGUCGAUCUGAUCCCCGCUCCAAUCCGCCAAACAGUGUGAUUUUGUGUGAAAGAAUCAAAGAUGUUGGGAAUUUUAAGGCAAAAAGUGGGAGUUGGAAGCUCAUCAGUUAUGAUUUUGGGGCAGAAGAUCCUCCCCGCCAUGUCGGCAAUGAGGGGUUUCGCAUCUUCGGCUAAAGAGCUCCUCUUUAUAGUUAGGUUGAAGUUCAAGUUAAUAGAUUUUUUUUGGUUGGUUCGGAUCGGGCGAUUCCGGAGGCCCUGCCAUCGAGGUACCUAAAAGCUGCCAAUUGGAUUUGUUCUUCAGAUGAUAAUGGCAUACCUAUAUAAUGGUUGUUCUUUUGCUUUGAUGUAGAAGUAAGAAAAUUGCUUUGCCCCUUAUCUAUCCCGCUUCUUUCUGUCUGUGUGUUCUUUGUUCAAAGGUUGGUUGGUUGUUAAACUUGCUGUUGUAGAAGAGUUAAUGUCUGUUAGGCAAAUGAUUAUAGUGUUGUUCCUGUUAUGCAUAAGGUCGUGGUAAUAAUAUUGUGAGAUUUUGUGUCUGCAUAAAUCCAGUAGUGGUUUUGAUAAUCAGACAGUAAUCUCUCAACUUCUUUAUGAUUAUAGUUGCUUUGAUACUGUCAUAGGGACUUUUGUCAUACUUACAAAUUGAUUUUGAUAUAUCCCUUCGUAGGUUUAAAAUUUUUGUCAAACCCAAAAGUUACCUUGCUGGGCAUAUUUAAAAAGUAGUUUAAUUAAUCAAUAUUACUAUGGUAGUUUUAAAGUUAUAUGUUAAUUGGAAUUAAUCCUUUUGGUUUUAUUUUUAAAACUACAUAUCUGUGGUAAGGAGGGAUGCCUAUUGAAGUUUUGAAUUUCCAGUACUCAGGUGCUUAAAGAUUUGAAUUUUUAAAGUGGUUCCACAAAACCUGCAAAGUGGUUCCACAAAAAUCUGCAAAGUGGACGUUAUGUUGCUUGCAGCAGUAGAUUGUUUAGGGUUUAGUUGAAAAAGAUAUACAAAAAAAAAACUAGGUAAUGAGGCAUUGAAUUGGGUUUGAAAGUUUUGAUAUUAUGAGAGAAGUAGGGAGUACAUAGGGAGAGAGGGAGGUAGGUGAUUUGCAGAAAUGGAGGGUGAGAGAAAAACGGGGAGAAAAACGGGUGAGAGUUUUGAUAUUAUUCAUGGCUAGUUGUAUCUGAAAAGUAGCAAAAGAGAUAUUAGGAGAGUCCAAUGGCUUUGCCCCA